rnacentral:ncRNA from 20 species
UGAUGUAAUUGAAUAGAAAUGCGUAUAAUUAAGGGGAUAUGGCCCACAGUUUCUACCAGACCACCGUAAAUGGUUUGACUACGCAGUAAUUAUAUUUGUAU